UACAAAACAGACACUGGACAGUUAAGUAACAUAUAUUGUAAUAUAUUGAAUAAAAUUUACAGUAAUCAUUAAGUUAACACUCGCCUUAAUAAACAACUAACCUUAAUAAUUAAAGUAAUAGUAUUCCUCUAAUUGUUCUUUUGUUGUUAUUUUUUGCGUUUGAGUCAUUUUAUGUGUUUUGUCUUAUUACUGUAACGAACGUGCUUCAGACCUUUCCUUAUAUUAAUUUUAAGAUGCAUUUUAAUAUAUGACAGUAACAAUUUUUAUUUUAAUGUCAAUGUUAUUUAUUUGUGAAAUCUUUUAACUUUCUUAUACUCCUGAAGAAGCCAUCAAAAAAAUGUGCGAAAUAUUGAGUUUUUAGAAAAAAUAAAGAUUUUUUAUUAUAGACCACA
rnacentral:lncRNA from 1 species